GAGUAANAUUUGGGAAACUAACCUGAUAGAGGGGGACAACAGUUGGAAACGACUGCUAAUACCGCAUAAAGCCUAAGGGUGAAAGCAGCAAUGCGCUAUCAGAUGCGGCCCAAACGGGAUUAGCUAGUAGGUGAGGUAAAGGCUCACCUAGGCGACGAUCUCUAGCUGGUCUGAGAGGAUGAUCAGCCACAUUGGGACUGAGACACGGCCCAGACUCCUACGGGAGGCAGCAGUAGGGAAUAUUGCACAAUGGAGGAAACUCUGAUGCAGCCAUGCCGCGUGUGUGAAGAAGGCCUUCGGGUUGUAAAGCGCUUUCGGAGGGGAGGAACAAAUGACGUUACCCUCAGAAGAAGCACCGGCUAACUCCGUG
rnacentral:rRNA from 1 species